CUCCACCUAGCCAUAGCAAAAGAACACGUAGCGCAAAUGGUUACAAGAAGCAACUGCUCUGAUCUCUAAAUAAAACUCUCUAACCAUCUACUCUCCACCUACUAAAAUAAUACAUUCUGAGCUGCCCGCGUGGGUAAUCAACAUCGGCUAUAACGAGUGACAAAGCCAGCCCUAGAGGGUGCUAUCCUAAAUCUUCCAAAGAAUUUCGUUAUCGUUACAACUGGUGUCCGCGUCACAAACAACAAUCCAUGGUGAUCAAUUAGCCUCGUGUGUCCUCAGCCAUGCACUUGUUUAAUUCAUUCGUCAACAUGUUGACACCAUUAUGACAUGAGCUUGAAACAGAACACGCAAUUCGUCUUUGUAGAUUCUUAAAAUCCAUUGCCAAUUUUCCAUCCCAGCUGCAGUUUUCUCUGACAACGAAGGCAUGUGAUAAUAUCAGAAUAUAUAUAUAAGUUUUUGCAGCAAUUCAGUAAUGGCCCUCACCUGUAAUCAAAAUCGCUCUCACCCAUGUUGUCAAUCAUGUCAUCAAAUAUAUAUAUUAGAUCUUCAAGAAUUUGCAGCUCAUUUUCCAAGUUUCCUUGCAACUGCAAAAGAAAAAAGAUGAGAUAGAAAAAAAGUAAUGCAAUAUAUUUUAACUAAGGUAGGAUUUUGAAAAUGAAGAAAUGUUAUAUGCAACAUCUCUGAGUACAUUUUUCUCAUAUUUUUUCACUUUUGAUAAUAAAAGUGAUUGAUAAAAACUUUAGAAGAAUAAAAAUAUCUCUUAUAUCAUAAAAAAAUUGUACACAGUGAUACUAACAUCAUUUCUCUAUGAAAAUAGGGUAACAAUGAGCUUGCUUAGAGGGUUAAUAGCAAGUUUUCUCUCUCUCUCAUUAAGGUCAAACUACCAAUGCAUUGCACACGCGAAGCCUACAAUUCAAAACUGUAGAAGGCAGAUGACACCUGAAAUCUAAAAAAUUGAAAACAAGAAAAGGUUAAAAUUGGGAGAAGGAACAGUACCAAGGUCUUCGUAUUCAGCAUGGGACUUCGAGAUCUCCGAAGAUGGUCCAAUAAUGGAGAGGGAAGGCCAUAAUAGAAUAGGCUGUGAUGGUUGGAGAGCCAAGUACCACGCACCAUGUGAGUCGUCCAGUUGGGCGGGCAUUUAUCCUCAACAUAAUCAACAUCAGAACCAUCAAUAUCUGCAAAAUGACAGUUAGAAUGUCCUAUCUAACAGCACACAUAAGCAAGCUUGCAACCAAAAGCACGUUAAAUUCUGGAAGGGGGCAUUGAUUGAGAUACGUAUACGGCAUAAUAUUAGUACCUAAUGGAAUGGUAUCAUAUGGGUUGUCUCCUCGCGGUAAGAAACCAUAGAAGGUAAUUAGAUGAGAACUGGAGAAGUUCCCAUAGCUUAAGCAGCAUUCUUCUCCAGAUUUGCAUGGUCUUGAUAGACGAAAUUUCAAUGAAUUUGUAGUAGCAUCUACUUUGCCAUAGUGCAAAAUAUGUGGGCACAGCUGUUGUCAGGUACCAGAAAAGAAAUAUAAGAGAGAAAACAUUUAAAGGGCUCAUAAGGUAGCUAUGAAGAUCAGUGAUAUUCUUAAUAAGAAAAGCCAAAUUGUACAAUAAUCAAUUAUAUUUGUGGAGCACAUCAGGCAUCAUCAAAUGGCAAUUCUCAAAAAUGAAAAACUAGCUAGAAGCAAUAUAUGCCAGCCCAGCUGCAGAGAAUGUUCUAUUCUUAAUUAAGUACUAAUCCACAGCCCAGGUAUUUUACAAUUUGGUUACCUUUUUUUCCGAAUACAGCAGCCAAUGCACAAUACGUAAAUAGUCUUUUAUCAAAAUAUUCAAUAAUGGGAGACAAAUAAGGGACAGGAAAUGAUAAAAAGAGAAGAUUUAUAUACUGAAUGAUUAAGAAAGCCAGCUAUAGGGAUCAAGCAUGUCGUCAGCUUUCCAUCAGGGAACAUUAUCUUCAUGCUAUUGGAGUAAAAAAGUUCACAAGCCCAUAAAAAUUUCUCCCAUGUAUACAGCUCUACUGGAAAUAUCUCAGGGAAGUUGUUACACAAAGCAGGGAACAACUCGUCAUACUGAGCAUGCAGGUGCUGCCACAAAGAAGAAAGAAACAACAUUCUCUACAUGUCAGCAACCUUUAGCAGCUUUAGUAUUUAAUGAAACAUUGAACAGAAGCAUAAUUAAUGCGUAGGAACAUGUUCUUGCAAAUUCCAAAUGACCUGUAUUUAUAGCCACUAAAUACUUGUGUAAAUCUUCUUAGUAGUUUCCAAUUCUGGCU